GGGACUCUUCUGUUUCUGCCAUAUCCAUAUCCUCACACGCAAAGUGAAGAAAGCGAUGGGCCACAUGUUCAGCACUGAGGUCCUUAUGCUUCCAUGGAGCAGGAAUUUUUUGUGACCGUGUCUAUUACUGAACCAGAGCUCAGCAAGUAGGCAAGGCUGGCUGACCAGUAAGCUCCCUGUGUCCACCUCCCCAGUGCUGGGAUUACAAGUGCUAGGCCACCACGUCCAGCUUUUUAAGAGGGUGCUGAGAGUCAGACCUGCAUCUGUGUGCUUGCAAAUCAAGCUGUUUACAAAUGGGGCUACAUCUCCACACCAAGUUUUUAUGCGUGGAUGUGGACCACGAGUGAAGAAUUUGUUCCUCCCAGGGAGUCAGCUGGGAUUGCAGCUGUCUGCCACCCUUUCCAGUCUCACCUCUGACCUCAGCAGGCAGGUCUACUCCUCCUCACCAUUCGACUCUGCAGCCUUCAGGGGGGUCUUGGUUGUGCUGUGUGCUUCUCAGGAACUGUUGGUCCCUGGUCAUCCUCCUCCAAGUAACUAUGGUGGCUUUUGUUGUCUUCCUUCCUGUUGUGGAAGAUAACAAGAAGCCUGCUGUGUGUGCACCUUCCAUGACUCAUGCACACUCAGAAUAUUGAUUCUGUGCUCUGUGGAAGUUCUGAUGGGUGUUGUGCACAGUCAGACCUAGCUGUGUUUCCUGAGUGCUUGGAUAUGGCAAUGUCUUCCAAGAUGUAUCAGUGAUUCAUGCCAGAAUCGGCUGCUUUAGAGAACCUGAGCCCAAGUCUACACACAGUAUGCCACUGAGUUUCUGUGAGGGAUUUUUAGGUGAUUGGAAGUGUCUUAAGCCAGUCCCUUGUCUGCUGGUAUAACCUGUGCUCUGUACCACUUACAAUGCCUGCUCAAGUUGUCACAGUCUCUUCUGUUCCAAAUGUGUCCUCAGCAGGGGGCACAUGACCCUGUAAAGGUGCUUCUGGUCCUUCAGAUGAGCACAACAGGAAUGAAAAAGCAGACAAUGAUCAGCUCACACAGGGUUUGAUUCUAUAGUCCCUGUCCCCACUGCACAAAGUACCAGUGUAAGAAUAGGGACACAACACAGGCUUGGGUGGCCGGAGUGGGUCUCCUGAGGAUGUGACAUGGAGAUGCAACUCAGUGUCCAGAAGGACCCAUGUCUGUCCAGAAAGUGCCCAUCAGAGGGGCCAAUUUCAAAUAUCUUUGUAGGAGCGUAAAGGAAAUGAGAAGUGCAAGCCAGUUUCUCUAUUGUAUGCACAGGCCAUCUGAAAAAAUAACUCACCAACGCAACAGUGCUGGAAGUGUGUUCAGGAGAUGGCUCAGUGUGUAAAGUGUUCGUCGUCUAAGUAUAGGGUACAGACUUAGUACAUCCAGUACCCACAUAAGUGCCCAGUAGGCAUAAUGGCCUUCUUGUAAUGCCAGAGCUCAGGAUAUAGAGACAGGGGAUCCCUGGAGAAAGCUGCUAGCUAGACUAGCCAAACUGGUGAGCUAUGGUUUAAGUUAGAGACAUGCUUCAAUAUACAAGGUGAAGGGCAAUUGAGGAAGACAUAUGUUAUCAACCUGUGGUAUCUACACAUAGGUGUACCCAUGUGCAUACAAACGUGUAUACACAUGCAUAUGCAAUAAAAAAGAAAAAUGCAUCAUGGCCAGGAGGGAUUUAUCCUUAGAAACAUCAUUCAUAGAUGAAGAAGACCUCAGGGGUCACAGAAAGAGCACCUAUACACUUAUAGAGAAACACUUCAAAAAUCGGGGCUAGAAAGACAUUUUCUUAGCUUUCUAAGAUCUGUGCAGACAAAAAAGGACAGUGAACAACAUUAUGGAGAAACAUUAGGUUGUUUAUGAUUAGGAUCAAGACAAGAGUGACUGACAUCCUGGGUAACCAACACAUAUCCUGAUCAAAGGAAUAGAGCCAGAAAACUAGAUUAAAGGAUGUAUGAUGUAAGGGUGUGAAAGAGAGAGACAAAGCCGCCAUCCUACAAUGUAAUUAUAUGGACAGAAAACCUAACAGAACCAUCAGAAAAAUUGUUAAAAUACUGGAUUAAAAGUUAACCCAUGUUUCUCAGUAGUAUUUCCCUCCUUAGUAGAAGACGGCUAGGCUUCAUAAUAGAAAGCGCUACUCAUAAUAGUAACACAUCUGUGUUAACUGACGGAGGAUAAAGAAGGCCUUUAUGAGAAAGAUAUAGAGGCUGGAGAGAUGGUUCAGCAGUGUAUAACACUUGUUGAGUUUUUAGAGGGCCCGAGUUUGGUUCCCAGCACCCACAUGAUGGCUCAUGAAUUCCUUAA